rnacentral:lncRNA from 1 species
ACAAGACGUUGCCCAUAUGGGACUCAUAGAUGUGUCAACAGGUCCACAGAUUGAGAGGAACUGCGCUUGAAGAGCUGUGCUUAAGAAACUACACCUCAGGAACAUCAUUCACACCUAGUCCUCACAGAGAUAAGACAUUUCCAGACUUUGAGCUGCUAUGUGUUGAUGAAGCUUUUCAGAGAACUUAGGAAGGGGUUGCUGGUAGAAAGGCUUAAGUCACUGGGAGCUAUGGGAGGAUGAUUUCAAGACCCUCAGAUCACGGCUUAAGAAUGGCUUCUUCAAAAGGAAAAUCUUCAGUGUGGCAGAUCACAUUAUUGGAUUGAUCAUUGUCUCAUUCGCCUAUUUCUACCAUAGACUAUGUCCUCAUCAGUGACUGACAGUGCUCCCCUGCCUUUGAUAUUUUAGCAGAAGUUUCCUGCUUACCCUCUGACACUUCUAAUAACUCCAUAAGAAGAUACACUGACCACUCAUCAUCAGAAAAUGAGAGACAUUUGGAGAAUAGCCAUGCCAGUAGAGCCCAGACUGAACUGCCAAGCCUUCAGAUGACCAACAGCCAGAUGAGGUGGUCAUAUCCAAAUCAGGCUUUAGCUGACCAGCUACCAAACAAAAGCAGCUGCUACAAGCCAGCAAGCACACGUGCGAGGACUCUCACAUGGAGGGUGGCCGGCACCUCCUGCAUCACCCCCCACACUCUCAGAAUUCACCUUCCUUUCAGCACUGACAGAAUUUCCAAUUAUGUGAUUGUUGCAAAGAGUCUUGUUAAGUGCUUCAAAGGAGCUCCUUGUCUUGGCUUCCAGAAGUCCAUGGAAAGACGGCACAAAAAUAAAAUAAAGACGGACAACCUGCAAGACAGGAGACAGGAAAGGGCAAUUUGUCUUUAUCCUAGGGCUCUUCAAACACACAUUUAGUGAGAUUAAAAAGAACACCACCAGCUCUUUGGGAAAGAGCCUCCAAUUUUCCUUUUAGUAUGGAAGGCACCAAAGAUGUAAACACAUUUAACCAAAAAGGAGUCUGGAAAAUUCCCCUCCACUUAAGAGGACUGACCCAAGCAGAGAGACUCGAACUUUCUACUGUCAUCCUUGAUGAAAAUUCAAUCUCCACAUUGGACAGCCACCUCACUCAAUUGAUCCUCACUCAGUUGACCCAGGGCAAGAUGAAAGUGGGAGGGAUGACUGGAGUGUCAGAGGGAAGGCUCUGCUAGGGAAACUCCCACACCCAAACUUGGAUCUGCCCCUUCAGUGACUACCUAGUCAUGAAGCAAGGUUAUAUUCUAAAGUGCCCACUGUGGCAUGACCCUUUAUUGCAUACACUUUAGCUUACAAUUGCCUCUACAGAAAAAGACCUUGAGAGCAGACUUGAGACUAUAGACUGGAGAACAGGAAGCUUAUGUAAGGAAACAGCUGUGGAAAAAGACUCUGGCAGACAGAGGGAAGUGCUCUAUGCUAUCAUGGUGCUCAGAACACACCUGUGCUUUCCUCUAGCAUCCUCUAACCCAGCUGGAAGAUUGGCACUAAUGGCUUCCUCUUGCUUCUUUGAUCCAGAGGUACCUAUCUGUAUCCCCAGGCUGGAGAGAUAGCUCAGCCAUCAAGGGUUCACCACCAGAAACCUCCAUUUCUCAUACAAAGGGGGAGGUGUUUUCUACACUGCCCGUUUCCUUCAUGAUAUGCAUUUCAACCUUAAAAUUCUAUAACGUCACCAUCCUUGCUGGGGGGGACGGGGUCUCAGGGAGUAAAAAGGAAUAAGGAUGUGCCAAUUUAUUUUGAUGGGUUAAAUUUUGUGUGACAAUGAGAGCAGGUAGACUCACUUGGGUAUUAGAACAGAUAAGGAGGUUAUCUCUCAUUUGGUCCUCUGAUAUUGUAGAUGGCUUCAUAGAGGUAUCUAGAUAAUGGCUUCAUAGAGGUAUCUAGA